CGCGGAGUGGAGCAGUUUGGUAGCUCGCAAGGCUCAUAACCUUGAGGUCACGGGUUCAAAUCCUGUCUCCGCAA
rnacentral:tRNA from 1 species